CGUCUUUUGGGGUUGCAGCUGCGCUUGUUGGCGCUCAGUAUCAGGCUCCACCCACCCCGCCCGGACAUAAUCACAUCCGUUUUUGACUCUCUGUGCAUGCUCCCAUUGCUACCUAACAACAGCAAAGAACCUGCAUGGAUUGGGGCAGCAAAGGUGGUAUUCUGCCAGUUCGCACCGGUUUGGGAGAACCGCUAGUGGCAUGGCACAAGACUCCGCCCACCCACCCAGAUGUCAUAACAGACCUUCUGCACAUGCGCAGAAGGUUCUGCACAUGCCCAGACAUCCGUGCGCGCCUGCUACCGAAUCAGUAGUGAAGAAAAGAGGAUACCAUUACUGGGCAGCAUAUAUUACAUAAAUGAAACCACUUAGCAAAGCAUCUUCAUACAGUGAUAAAACAAGAAUGAAACCAUAAAUCACAAAUGGGAAUCAUGUCUUAGUAUGCUUAGAGUAGAUCCAUUGAUUAUAAGAUCUAGGAGUCCUAUUGGACAACCACUUAAAAAUGAGCCAGCAGUGCACUGCAGUCACCAAAAUAUCCAAAACAAUCCUAGGGUGCAUUAACAGGGAGAUAGAAUCAAGAUCACAAAGAUCAUGAAGUAUUAAUACCACUUUAUAAUGUCAUGGUAAGACCA